rnacentral:rRNA from 1 species
AUUGAACGCUGGCGGCAGGCUUAACACAUGCAAGUCGAGCGGAGAUGAGGUGCUUGCACCUUAUCUUAGCGGCGGACGGGUGAGUAAUGCUUAGGAAUCUGCCUAUUAGUGGGGGACAACAUUCCGAAAGGAAUGCUAAUACCUCAUACGUCCUACGGGAGAAAGCAGGGGAUCUUCGGACCUUGCGCUAAUAGAUGAGCCUAAUUCGGAUUAGCUAGUGGGGGGGGUAAAGGCCUACCAAGGCGACGAUCUGUAGCGGGUCUGAGAGGAUGAUCCGCCACACUGGGACUGAGACACGGCCCAGACUCCUACGGGAGGCAGCAGUGGGGAAUAUUGGACAAUGGGGGGAACCCUGAUCCAGCCAUGCCGCGUGUGUGAAGAAGGCCUUAUGGUUGUAAAGCACUUUAAGCGAGGAGGAGGCUACUGAGACUAAUACUCUUGGAUAGUGGACGUUACUCGCAGAAUGAGCACCGGCUAACUCUGUGCCAGCCGCCGCGGUAA